CCUGAUCUCUGCAAUCACCACCUGCAUUUAAGCCCUCCUGGGAGGCUUCUCCAGUGCCAGAUUAUUCCUGCAUCUUAAGUGUGCCUCCACGAGCUCCCAGUGCUUUUUCCCUAUCGCUGCCACACUGCCUCACUCUCUACCUGGAUUUAUUCACCAGCCUCCACCUCUGGUCCUCACGCCUUGGACCCUGGAUCCCUUCCCUGCUCCCUUUGUUCCAUACAAUAAAUUCAGUGAACUGCGUCCUCUGCCUCCGGCUGUGCUUUUGGGUCCACACUGUUUCAUCUGGUUUUCUAACCGUCACAGAAACAGGUUUUCAAAUUUAAUUUAGAUAGGACAGCUUCUGAAUAUGGCCACAUGGCUGCUUUUGACCUUUUAACCUUACUGUCCCUGUAAAAAAGAAAAACUCCUUGAGAUCUUAAUCCAGUGGUGGUUUUUUUUGUUUUGAUUAUUAGAUAAAAAGAUUAGAUAUUAGAUAUUAUUAGAUAAUUCUUAGGAGUUUUAACAUAAACAUAAACAUGUUCUUUCAGCUAUUUCUUUCUCUCAAACAUGAAGAAAUCCAGAAGGUUACAACUGAGUAGACAUGUUUAUUGACAUUAUUCAAUGCAAAAUAAGCAGCAUAAGAUUACAUUCAGAGUUAGAAAAAUAAAGAGUGUCUCAAAUGAAGAAGGCACUCAGGAUGGUUGCUGUUCAUUAACAAUAAAAAGGUUUAACUUGCAUUUAGUAGCACAUAACAUAAAAAUACGAGUAGAAAAGCCAUCCAGUGGUGUUUACCUUUCUGCAUAGUGAGUAUUUAAGAGGACAAGUCAAAGACCACGUCUAGUGAGUUUAGCUUGGUAACAGUGGUUUAAGGAAGAAAGAAAGAUCAUUGUUUGUCAUUAGGUUGUACGACUGCAUCUGAUACUUUCUGCAAGCACUGUUAACUGUUCACAGGGAGUGAUUUAAGUGUCAGAGAUCUUCUCCUAAACGAUGUUAAACUCGCACACUGAGGCCUUUUCUGCCCGGCAGCUCUCAUCAAACCACUUCCCGUUGGCAGUGGUGGAGAGGAUGCCGCAGUUCUGACUGCUGCCUCCAUCCGGCUGCAGGGUGAUCUCUGUCUCCCAGUUUUUGAAGCGCACGUUGGAGCCAGACUGUUCGACCCACUGGCCCUCCGUCACCAAGUCGUUGAUGCCCAGCCAUAUGUGCUCCUCAGGGCCGAUGCUCUGACGGACGUAGCUGUAGAGUUGGUCGUUCUCGUCUCCGUUCACAGGUGUGACCAGGAUGCCUCCUUUGUUGAUGCAGUCUUCGUUGGCUGCAUGGAAGUUCUUCUUAACGGGGUUAGCCAGGAAGCACUUCCCAAGGACCUUUGUGCCUCGCAGACAAACUGAGGGGCAAAGUUGGACUGAGGUGUUGGUCGUCAAGUCUUGACUUGUUAUACUCACAGAUCAUUGAUACAAAAUUAUUUUUUAAAGCCCAUCCUAAGCUUUUCACAGAUUAACAAAGUAUUUUCCUACAUAUUCAAAUUUCAUUCAAAAUAAAAAUCCUUUGUAAAAGUGAGAUAACAACGUUGCUGUGCAUGAUGUAAUGAAUCCAGAUUCAUCUAAAAAGGUUUAAGGAAUAAAAUAAGUACAAACAGAAAA